CGUGUAGCGGAGUACAAGUCAGAUGUGAAAUACCGAGGCUUAACCUCGGGGCUGCAUCUGAAACUGUGUUUCUUGAGUGUCGGAGAGGAAAGUGGAAUUCCCAGUGUAGCGGUGAAAUGCGUAGAUAUUGGGAGGAACACCAGUGGCGAAGGCGACUUUCUGGACGAUAACUGACGCUGAGGCGCGAAAGGCGUGGGGAGCAAACAGGAUUAGAUACCCUGGUAGUCCACGCUGUAACGAUGGAUACUAGGUGUAGGAGGUAUCGACCCCUUCUGUGCCGGAGUUAACACAAUAAGUAUCCCACCUGGGGAGUACGGCCGCAAGGUUGAA
rnacentral:rRNA from 1 species